UUUAUUAAACUUUUAUAUAUGUUGCACUUGAUAUCCUGGCCUGCAAAAUUUUUGCCUUAGAAUGGCAGUGAAAAACGCAUUCUUUUAAGGAAAAAAAAAAAAAACUCUAUUUGGUUGGGGAUUAAGGGUUAUUCCACCCCUUAACCCUCAUAUUAUUCCCAAACACCCUAAAAAAUAGAUGGUGUUAGCUAAUCCCACCUCAAAUGGGCUAUUCCGGAUUAGCUAAUCCUACAUAACCCCACAAAACCCUAAUCAAAGACUAUUUUCUAUUUAUAAUAACCCACUAUCCUUCUUAUCCCACCUACUCCAACCAAAAAACUAUUUUUCACUAUCCUGAUCUAACUCCAACCUCCAACCAAACAAAAAAAUAUUCUAACCACAGCUUAACCCUGAACUUAACCCUAUCCCUGGAAUAACUAGUUUUUUCUUAACCCCGAACCAAACGGUAGCUAAUAGUUAUAAGUCAUAUUAUUAUAUUUAUAAAAUAUGAAUAUUGAAAUUAUUAUUUUUUAAAAUUAUAUAUAAAAAUAAUUAUUUGAUAGUAUUUUAUAUAACAUAUGAAAAUGUGUUGAAUAUAAAUGUUAAAUAUACCGUCGGCUAUGAAAGAUUUAUAAUAACAUUUAGGAAUACUCAUAUACGAAAUGACUAAUGUGCUUCACACCGUACAUGUUAAUAAAUUAGCAAGCAAUAUUCUAAGACUUAGUUUGGGAUUACGGAAAAAUUAUGUUACGUGCGGUGAGAAAGUACGAUGGAAAAAUAUUUUAUUUGCUUCCAUAUAUAGUAUUCGAUAUAUUUUCUGCGAUCCCAUCGGAGAAUGUAGAAGCAUAUCCCUUUAUGCUUUUACCCCAACUCCAUUUUAUCUAAUAGUGUUAGAUGGAGCUCAAUACCAAACUAAGCCUAAGAGACAUGUGAAAGUACUUUGUACUCAUAUCAACUAUGUUUGUUUAUAGGAUAUUGAGUAGGGAUGCAAACGGGACGGAUUCGGGAGCGGGAGGGUUCUCUCACCUCGUGCUCCCGGCUCUAUUUUUUGUUAGAAUUGGGUGGAUUAUUUUUUAUUUUAUUUUUUGCUCCCACUUACUGCCCCAUUCGGGGCAGAUAGGAGCGAGGGCGGAUUUUUGACAAAUUGGGACGGAUUGAAGGAAGAAAAUAGUCUCUUACCUCUCGCUCCAUUUAUUUGGUGGAUCAAAGCUUAUUCGGGAUAGAUUAUAUUUUUCUAUAUUUUUUGUUCCCACUUGCCGCCUCAUUUGGGAUGGAUCGGGGCGGGGCCUCGACUAACCCGGAUACCUUUUCAUCCCUAAUAUUGGGCCUAGAAGCAAAUUAACCGCACAAAAGAAAAAAAAAAAAAAAAAUUCUAUUUCAACUUGGUUUACUGAUCACAUUGUAAACCAUGUUCACGCAAAAAAUAAUGCCUAAAAGAGCCCGACAGGCCACAGCCGAAACCAAAACAGAACAGAGAAACACCGAAUCUCCGUAGACCCCUUGGGGACAGCAACCAGUGUGAGACGCAUCGAGUUCGCAUUCAUCUGCUUUGCGAUCCGCGCCAAUCAUUUGAUGGACGGUGGAUUCGAUAUAUACACACACUAUGCGAACAUCCCCAGCGCCUUUUUUUUGUUCCCUUCGAGCGAAAUUUUAUCAGGUUCACAUCUUACUUUGAGAUUCGUGCUAGGCACUUGAUGAACGGUGGCGAAUAUCCCCACCGCCUUUGCGUUCCCUUCGAGCGAAAUUUUAUCAGGCUCAUCUUACUUUGAGAUUCGGGCUAGGCACUUGAUCAACGGUUGCGAAUAUCCCCAGCGCGUUUUUGUCGGGUUCACAUCUUACUUUGAGAUUCGUGCCAGGCACUUGAUGAGCGGUGGAUUUUACGGUCUCACGUUGGGGGCGCAUCCCCAAGCCAUUACUUGUUCUCCUUCCCAAGCGAGGUUCUACGGAGGUUUUUGCCCUAUCCAUUUCCCCUUCCUCUUCCUCUUCCCCCCUCUCUCUCUCUCUCUCUCUCUCUCUCUCUCUCUUCUCCAAUGGCGUCCUCCGCCUCCUCCUUCUUCCUCCCACCCCCUCCUCCAUGGGGGGGAACCCACGAGUUCCGUACCCGUCGACCACCACCACCACUACCCAAGUUCCCCCUCCCGAACCCUCCUUUCCCCUCCAAUUCGAUGUCCCCUCCCGCAAUCCCCAAAUGGGUCCCCUUCAAUUCCCUCCGAUCCCCUCUCCUCAUCGACCCAAUCGCCGAGGACUACGACGACGACGAGAGGAGCUUGGACUACGUCGACGGGUUGAUCGAGUUCCCCUGGUUCGGCUACGAGGUUCCCCUCGAAACCCCCGGCGAUGCCCUAAAAAUGGCCUUUUGCGAGGACCCAGAUUGGUUUCCGGCCGAUUACUAUCCAGCGGUUGCGGAGAAGAGAUUGAGGCGCGGUGGAGAGGGGAGGGCCAAGUAUAAUGCGUUGAGGAGGCGGCAAAUUAAGGCGGAGACGGAGGCGUGGGAGAAGGCGGCGGAGGAGUACAAGGAGUUGGAGAGGGUGAUGCUGGAGAAGAAGCUGGCCCCGAGCUUGCCCUACGUGAAGUCGCUGUUUUUGGGGUGGUUUGAGCCGCUGCGAGACGCCGUCGAGGAGGAGCAGCGGCUGCAGAGGUCGAAGCGGCAGAAGGCCGCAUACGCCGCGCACAUCCGGCUGCUGCCGGCGGAUAAGAUCGCGGUGAUCGUGAUGCAUAAGAUGAUGGGCCUGCAGAUGAUGGGGCAGGAAGAAGGGUGUGUUAGGGUGGUUCAAGCCGCGAUUCAUAUCGGCGAGGCCAUAGAGCAAGAGGUUAGUAGUUAUCGUGCCAAUUGAGCUCUAAUGCUGUAGUACAAUAGUUGCAAAUGUGGUGCAUCUCUCAAGUUAGUGUUAUAACCUCGGGAACGAUCAAUUGGACGAAAAACCAACUCGCAUGAGCAAUAAUUAUGUCAACCGAGUAAAACUACUAGUUAUACUUGUGUUACGCAGCGGCCUCAUGUUGUUUACUUUGUAUGCAGUUCAAGAUCCAUUCAUAUUUUCAGAAGAGUAAGAGAUCGGGAAGGAGGAAAAAUCAAGGCGAAGAAAAUGAAAUGGUAAGUAAAGAAGAGGGGAAGCUUCGGAAACACGUGAUGAAUUUGGUCAAAAUGAGAAAGCUAACUGAGGCGCAGAAGCUAAUAAAAACUGAGAUUGAGACAGAGCCUUGGGGUCGGGACGCCCAGGCGAAGGUUUGUGGUGUUCUUUUACAAGUGGUAUAAUGCCUUAUUGAUAGGUUCUUUUGCCUAUUCUUAAACUUGAGCCUCUUCCGUCUCUUCAGUUGGGAAGCCGUUUGAUAGAAUUAUUAAUGGAGUCGGCAUUUGUACAACCACCACCUAGCCAAUCAGCAGAUAGUUUACUGGAAAUUCGCCCUGCAUUUCGGCAUGCUUUCAAAACUGUAGCUGUGGAAAAUGGGUAUGACGGCACAUAUUCCCUCUUUUCUAUAAUUUUAGUAAAUUGCACUAUAGCUUCUAAACAUUUCGGUAAAUUGCGCUAUACCUUGUCUGUUCUUCUGGCAGGAAGCUGAGGAACAGAUACGGGGUAAUAGAAUGCGAUCCGCUGGUUCACAAGGGUCUUGAUAGCACCGUAAGUUUGUUCAGAUUCGAUCUGUUAGUUUAACUCAGAAGAGUCGGUUCUUAUGGCAUUCUGAACUUAAAAGUGUAUUGAGUUUGCCUUUCAUGGUACUUGCUGUAGUAGAAGAAAUGAUCUUUCAACUCUUAGUUUUUGUUGAGUCUUGCUGCAAGUCAUGGUGUUAUACUUCUCAUGUGUACAAUGCCGCUUUCUAUUUACCUUUUGUGUUUUGUGCAGGCUAGGCACAUGGUGAUUCCAUACCUUCCAAUGUUGAUACCACCAAAAAAUUGGAAAGGGUAUGUAAUUGACGAAUCAUUAAAAUAUCUCUUGGGGCCCAUAUGCUUUAAGUUGUUUAUUAUUUGUUCGUAUGAAGAGGGCCUUGAUGGGGCUAUGGAUCUUGGUAAAGGGAUGCGAGCUAUGUAAUAUUCAUGUAUUCGCCCGUUAAAUUGAAAGUAAUUUAGCUAAUAUCAUUCUUGCUGGUGACUUUUCUCAUUACUUUCUGUGUAUCUGUAUUUGUUUUAAGAGGUAGUUUCUUGUCCAGGUAUGACAAAGGAGGACAUUUGUUUCUACCAUCCUAUGUUAUGCGGACUCAUGGAGCAAAGGACCAGCAGGAUGCAAUUAAAAGUGUUCCCCCAAAACAACUGCGGAGAGUUUUUGAGGUUUUGAUCUGUCAGAUCUUUAGCAACAAUACCUUUAUAUCUUGAUUUUAUUUUAUUUUUUCACCUGUGAUCUAGCUAUUUUAUUUUGAACUGUCCUUUACUUUCUUUUUUUUUUUUUUUUUCUUUCUUCUACACGGGGGAUUCUUUAGAUAGAAUAACAAGUUCUUGAAUGAUGCCAUUUAGCUAUCAUUGAGCAUGCUGAACUUAAUUUUUUUGUUUUUUUCCUUCCGUAUACUUAUUUGCAUUCCCUUCUGUAUACCUUUCUGGUACUGUUUGCAUUUCCCAGGCAUUGGAUACCCUUGGAAGUACUAAAUGGAGGGUAAAUAGAAGAAUACUUGAUGUCGUAGAGAGUAUUUGGAGCGGAGGUGGUGGUAUUGCAGGACUGAUCAAUCGGCAAGAUGUAAGUAUGACAUCUUUGUAUGAAUAAGAACUCUUUUUGGGUGGAAAUUGGAAAUAUUGGUUGCAAUGUAAGUUAUUUGUAUCUUCUUUUGUUUCUCUUAGUAGAUUCCUUUAGCAGAAAGACCUGACUCAGAGGAUCCAGUUGAAAUCCAGAGAUGGAAGUGGAGCAUCAGAAAGGCGAAAAAAGCCAAUAAUGAAAUGCAUGCCCAAAGAUGUGACACAGAGCUUAAACUUUCUGUAUGUUUCCAUUGGCCUCAUUUGAUACUUACUAUUUAAUGCAUGAUCACCAAUAUAUAUAUAUAUAUAUAUAUAUAUAUUUCAUUCUUCUGUAAUUGGUUCAAACUGGAGAAUUUGAUAAUGCCAAUCUGGCGUAGCUUCUGGACCAUCUUCUCUGCUAUGAAAAAUGGCGCCACAUGUUGGCAAACAAAAUUUUUGGUGCUUUCGCUGCGGCGUGAAGCUGAGUAGGGUUUCUAGGACCUAAAAGAAAAAGCAAUUUGAAGUCCUGCUGCUAUAGCAAGAAGCUACUACCGAGGUUUAACUAGAAAGUUGUUAGUGUUUUUUUAAACAACUUUCCUCAAAUAACACUUUUACUGAAACUUCAGGUCAAUAGACCUUUUAAUUGCUUCUAGAAUAGCAUGCGUACUUCACAAAGUAGAAGCUUCUAGAAAGUAGGUGUUUGGCGUACAAAAAAGCCCAGAGAUUUUGUUGUGGCACGAAGCUAUCAUUGACUACUACGAGGCCUUCAAAUUGAAGCUUUUGCUUCUACAGCAGUGAGAUGCUGUUGAGGAGAUCUUAAUUAAUACCCUUUACUAUUUUUUCAAAUAGUUAUACUUAAACAACACUUUUGUAGAAGCUCCAUUGGUGGUAAAUAAGCAGUCAAUCUAUUUAUACAUGUUGAAGACAUUUUCCUUAACAGGUUGCCCGUAAAAUGAGAGAUGAAGAAGGCUUUCACUACCCUCAUAAUCUAGACUUUCGUGGACGUGCGUACCCUAUGCAUUCACACUUGAAUCACUUAAGUUCGGAUCUUUGCCGAGGAAUUCUAGAGUUUGCUGAAGGACGGCCGUUGGGGAAGUCUGGGCUACAUUGGCUAAAGAUACAUUUGGCAAAUAUAUAUGGUGGAGGCGUCGAAAAGCUCUGUUAUGAGGGUAGAUUGGCCUUUGUGGAGGAUCACUUACACGAUAUAUUUGAUUCAGCAGCAAAUCCCAUUGAAGGAAAGUGCUGGUGGGUAAAUGCUGAGGACCCUUUUCAAUGCUUAGCUGCAUGUAUGGAUCUCUCCGAUGCCUUGAAAAGCUCAUCCCCACACAAUGCUGUAUCCCACGUGCCCAUUCAUCAGGUAACUUGAUUCAUAUUAUAGAUAGAAGAAGGAAUUUAAGCUUUUUUUAUUGGUAUCUUGCUGAUGUUAAUUGCUUUGGUAAUUCGUCAUAAAACUUGUGACUGUUUUGUUCUCUGGAAGUGCAGUGUUUAACCUUAAAAUGAUUCUAUUGUAUUACAUUCUUGUGAAAAGAAACUAUUUUAAAAUUGUAUCAAGAUAUGUUUAACCUCUAAUAUGGUUGAUUUUUGUUUUUGACUAUUUCCCAUCUCAAAAAUAUUUGCAAAUUUCAAGUAGCAUAUGGCAUUUCUAACUCAAUACUGGUUUUUGUGCAGGAUGGCUCAUGCAAUGGUUUGCAACAUUAUGCAGCUCUGGGAAGAGACAGUGUAAGUUUAAUGCUAUCCUUUUUUACUCACUCUGGUUUCUUUUAAACGAGAGCUUUCUAUAAUAUUAAUAUACCGCACAGAGGUUUCAGCCCAUUUCGCCAUCUGUAGUCAUAUCUAGUAAUCUAAUUUGCUUAUAUAUGCGUGUGAUUUUUUUUUUUUUUAAGUCAUUAAGUAGAAUGAACCAUAAUCAUAGUAGUUUUUGGUUAUAUGAUUUUCCCAAAAGGUCGAAAUAAUUAUUAAUGUACUUAUGUACUCACCUUAUAUAUUUGAUACUCUUAAUUUCUCAGUUAGAAGCAGCUGCUGUCAACUUGGUCGCUGGAGAAAAACCUGCUGAUGUAUACUCAGGAAUAGCUGCAAGGUAAUAUUAUCUUUUCUGCCAAUACCCAGUUUGAUGUCUACAGAAGCAUGUAACUUGUGUCUAGGGAUCCAAAUGGAUCCUAGGUGGUGGAGCUCCCACCCGGAUCUGCCCCGAUUAGGGCGGUAAGUGAGAGUCAACAGUAAAUAAAAAAAUAACCGCCCCGAAUCUGCCCGUCUGCUAAGAAAUGGAACGGGAGGCGGGAGACCCCUUUCUUCUAACGAUCCGCCCCGAUCUGCCAAAAAUUUGCCAAAAACCUGCUCCUGCCUCGUCCUAAAUGGAAUGGUAAGUGGAGGCAAAAAAUAGGAUAAAAAUCAUUUCUGCCCCGAAUCCGCCCCAAUCCGCCAAGGAGAUGGGGCAGGAGGAUCCAGCCAGUUUGCAUCCCUACUUGUCUAUUCUCCCUUGACUGAGGAAUCAGAGAUUGUAAUCAGCCUGAUUGUUCUUGAAUCAGUGUCUAAAUAUUUAUAUUUUUAAUGCAUUUUUAUUUUAUUCUUUGAAGAUAUGGUUAGAUUAACUUUUCCUGAAUGCUUAAAACUGAAGGGUAAUGGAUACCAUGCAAAAAGACUCUCAGAAAGAUCCUGCUACCAAUCCGACAGCUCUGUUGGCUAAGGCAUUAGUUGACCAGGUUAGCCUUUCUUUGUAGUCUUUUAUGGGCAGUUUGAUCAUAUUGCCAUUCUAAAAUCUGCGGAAAUUUAGAUCAUUCUACAGCUAUUGUUUCUAACAGAUGCAAUUGGAUCCUAUUUGAUCUUGGUAGCUUUCAGGUGGAUAGAAAGCUUGUGAAGCAAACCGUGAUGACUUCAGUCUAUGGUGUUACAUAUGUUGGUGCUCGUGAGCAGAUCAAAAGGCGACUAGAAGAGAAGGGACUAAUUACAGAUGACAGAUUGCUUUUUAGUUCAUCUUGCUAUGCUGCUAAGGUAGAUUCCUUCUUAGCAUCUUAUGCAAUUUUGCGAAACAGUCUUUUUUUGAAUUUUUUUAUUUAUGCAUCUUUGAUCUGAAAUAUAACCUCAUGGAUCAAAAGGCCCCUAUAUGAGAUAUAAAGUGCAUAAAUCUGUGAGGAUGUUGACCGGGGGCAUUUCAGCCUGUGAAAAGAGAUUUUAGGCCGAAAGUUGCAAGAGCUGAAAGCCUGAAAGAAUGAACCAAAACAGUGAAACUUGAAAUAAACUACUCUGUUUUUCAAAAACCUGUUGUAUGUAAUCAGUAGUGUCCUAUGCAAAUUUUAGGGUGCAAUGAUGUACUUGAGAUGACAACUCUUUUUGAUAUGAAUGGCGUUUUGAUCAGGUAACACUGGAUGCUCUAGGAGAGAUGUUCCAAGCUGCACGUAGCAUUAUGAAAUGGCUUGCUGAUUGUGCAAAGGUCUUUCUCUUCUUUCUUUAUAGGGCUAUGAAAUCUAGCCACAUCUUAGCUUGUGAAGAAUAUUGACCUUUCAACGUAAGUAAUUAACUAGAGCAAUAAUAUAGUUUUUUGAAAUUGAACUAACCAAACUUCCUAAAUUAAUCCAAGGGAGUUUUAUUGAUUCACCGAAGUUCAAAUUAGGAAUACGAUGUAUGGUUACUCUGAACUUGAUGUAUGAGUAUGAUGUAUUUGUACAGGUGAUCGCUUCAGAGAAUCAGCCUGUGAGAUGGACUACCCCUCUUGGACUCCCAGUUGUCCAGCCCUACAGGAAUUACGAGCGGCACCUCGUGAGUUACUAAGUUAAAUUUAUCUAAUAAUUGAAACCUCAAUCCACAUCCCGAAUUGUAGCUAGCAUUAGUUGUUUGUCUAUCAUAAUGUGAACUUUAAAUUAUAUAUGGAAGCCAUAUUACUUUGCACUAGAAUGCAUCACUUAAUGUGAAGAAAAAGAUUUCUAUUUUGUGUAUGGCGGGGGUUCAAGCCUGCCAGGACAACCGUUCCAUUAAUUGGAUAAUAUUUAAUCAGAUCUUGCCUUCCCUAAACCCCACGUUUUUAGGAGGCUUCACACACAGAUUCUGGUUGUUUUCUUAUUUGUUGGUAAUGGGGAAAAUACUUUCUUUUUUUUAUAUGGUAACUUUGUAGUGUGUUUGACAUAGAUUCAGGUAUUAUUAUUUUUUUUGAACUGUAAAGGAAAGCAUUUGCAAGUAAUAGACAAUGUCCACCUUUUUAUACGAAUCUAUACUGGUCAUCAAGUCAGGACGCUGCGAACUUUUAAUGUACUUGUCAACUUUUAGUCCGGCGUAUAAUAACUUCUGACCAAUUCACGUGGAAUUCAGUGAACUUUUCUUGACAGCUUGUUAUCACUAAAGGUAGCAUAAAGUAGAAUUGGUAACCCUUCAUUAUAAAGCUUGACAGGACUGGUUCUUAGUCACAGGGAGAGCAGAGCAUUGUUUCUUCAAGUUAAUGCAAGUAAAUUAAUUGAACUCCAUGUAAAAUCAUCUUUGAUUGGUCGAAUUAUUAUUUGGUGCAACUAACGAAAUUUGCAACUCUAGUCACCGUUGCUCUUUCAUUAUAGCAUGAAGGCACUAGUUGUCCAAUCUUUUGGUAAUUAGACCGUACGCUUUGGUGGUGGAAGCUGUAUGAUAUUGUUGCUUUUGGACUUGUAUAUUACUUGUUUUUUGUUGGGUUUCUUAGCCACAUUUGAUCUGCAGAUACGAACUUCCCUUCAAGUUCUUGCCUUGCAACGAGGGGGCCAGACAGUAAGCUUUGAAAAACCUAUCCAAGAUUGCUUUUUGUUUAUGUCGUUCAUGAUUCAUUUAACUGUGUUGUGGUAAUUCCAGGUUUCUGUGAAACGACAAAAGACAGCAUUUCCACCUAAUUUUGUGCACUCACUUGAUGGCUCACAUAUGAUGAUGACCGCCAUUGCUUGCAAAAAUGCUGGCUUACAUUUUGCAGGUUUAAUUCUGUUCUAGUUUGGCAGUCCACUACUCUCUUGUUUCUGACCAAAAACAACUUGAAAGGAGCUUAAUACUCUCAAUAGGCCCUCUCAACCGAGUGUUUCAACCUUAAUAAUGGAUCAGCUGAGACAUUUUCACACUUUUUUUCUUGUGUAGUAGAUUCUAACCUUCCCUAUCCGCUUUAAUCUAAAAUGCUCUCCUUAUUUCACUAGUAUUCUUGUGAUGCAUAUUUUGUACCAUCAUGCUGUUUCCUCUGCUACCUCAUCUGCUUUAGCUGCAUCCUACUGUUUCAUCUACCUUCUAGGGUAGUUCAUCCACUAACACAUGCCCAUAAUUGAUUGCUAAUUUGAGAGAAGAAAAUUCAUAGUUGAUCCAGCAGCGGACCUCCAUCUUGAAAUAUGGCUGAGUUUUCUGAUAUCAUCAAUUUGCCAGUUUCCUGAUAUUGUCAAUUUGCCAUUGUUUUGUGAAUUAUGGCUGCAGGAGUGCACGACUCUUUUUGGACUCAUGCAUGCGAUGUGGACAGAAUGAAUCGCAUCUUGAGAGAACAAUUUGUGGAGCUUUACAAUAUUCCAGUUCUCGAGAAUGUAUGUUACUUACGAAUUCUCUCUCUCUCUCUCUCACACACACACACGCGCACACACAUAUCUCUUACUCAUCCUCUCGAGUUCAUUCUGGUUUUGUUUGCUCGUCCCAGUUGCUAGAGGGUUUCCAGACGUCCUUUCCAACAUUGACAUUUCCUUCUCUUCCGGAACGAGGCGACUUUGACCUAAACAAAGUUCUCAACUCUCCUUACUUUUUCAAUUGAAUUAUUAUAAACUGAUGGAUCUACUACUCGAAGCCCGCAACUGUUGGCAAGAAUUGCGUCACCGAUGAACCAACCAGAACUCUAUCUCGAUGAUAGGAAACCAAAGCUCUCAUUUUCUGUUGAGUAAUCGUUCGAGUAAGUCUUGAAUGAGCCCCUCUAACGGUUGAUGCAAAUAAACGAAUUUUUGUUCGACGCCUCUGAGCUGUAUAUCCUCAAAGCUGGUGCUGUAGCAUACAAAAGUAAACAUGUACAGGAAAAGGUGAUUUCUGACACAAGCAUACCGAGUUCACGAAUUGUGAAAGUUCUAUGAAUGAGAUUGACGAUAUAUGAUCUCAACUUUUGCUGCUGACGAUACAAACAUGUAUUGGCAAUUGAAGAGUAGGUUUUAAGUGUGAAAUCAUAUGAGGUGGUUCAUAUUUACGGGGUGGAAGUUAUCCUGCAGCUAGUGUUGAAUUGUUAGGCCAUUUAAAUCUGUAUUUCUAGCCAUAAUUCAUGAUGUCCGAUGACUGUUGUAUUAUAUGAUCUAUAACUUUGUCCGGCUAUCCGGCCCUGUAACAAUUUUCUUUUGUAGUUUCCUUCUAACAAGAGAUUAAAGAAACUACCACUUCCUUCUGUUUUAGUAAUACAGUUGUUGCCUGUAAGAUCUGAUGAAACAUAUGAUUACAAUAUGUAUUAUUGUUUAAUUGAGUAAUUCAAUGGACAACAAACAGCUUCUGGAAUAGAUGCAGAAGCAAUGUAGCGACCACCUUGUUCUGAAAAUAUAGAUAGCUAAUAGGAAAAAUUAGGGUAUUAUGAGUUUGGGGAUAUGCUUUUGCGUCACAUUUUUAGGAAAUAACUAGGAACUAUGCUGAUUCUCUAAACCUUAAAACAUUUUUACUACCUAAAUCAUACUUUAGAUCAGGCUUUUCGGAUUCCAAUUGUAAAUAUGCCUUACAUUGAGGAUCAAACUCUAGCUAAUUCUUAUUAAAAGCUUAUAUAUAUAAAGUCGGGAGUGAUAAGAUUUCGUUGCCGACUUCCUCAAUAGGCUAAACCAUACGUUCUCGUCGUGGAAUUCGGGCCUCGGAGAGAAGUCGGCGCAGUAUAUGUGUGUCGUGGCCGACUCCUAAACUCGGCAACUCGACAUCUCCACAACGCCGAAUCGUGUGUUCGGCGCUUCUUCUACUCCCCGCUUUUAAAAACCCUAUCCGGUCUAUCCUCUCUCAUCCCACUGGCCCCAAAAAUGGCGAUCUCCCUCUCCUCCCUCUCCUCCUCCUUCGCCUCUCUCUCCUUCUCCUCCAACCUCUCCUCGAACCCUAGGAUCCUCCGACCCCUCCCGACCCUCGCUUCCACCCGACGCGCCCCGCUCCGCGCCGUCGUCGCCGCCUCCUCCGCCGCCACCGCCGUCGCUGCGUUCUCCGGUGGCGCCGCCGAGGUUGCGGAGGUGGAGGGUGUGAGCUUGGAGAAGUACGUGAAGGCCAGGCUCCCCGGGGGAUUCGCGGCUCAGAGGAUCAUCGGGACGGGGCGUAGGAAGUGCGCCAUCGCCCGCGUCGUGCUCCAAGAGGGCUCCGGGAAGGUCAUCAUCAACUACCGCGACGCUAAGGUCAUCAUCAUCGUCAUCAUCAUCAUCAUCCUCAUCUUUUCCUUACAAUUUAAUCUAAAUAUAAUGAUGAUCUAUACCCUCUGAUAUAGAGUUGGAGCGAUAAUUAUACCGAAAGGAAGUUUUAAAAUUCCCAAAGUUAUUAUUAUUAUUUUUAAUUGUUUGGGGAUUGAAUUUUUGCAUUUUGAUAGUUUUUUAGACAAGGUGCUAGUUCAAUUGACCAGUAAAAUAUCUCAGGUUUAGACUCAACAUUAUUUUGCGGAAACAUAUAGAAUGCGGAACAUCCAUUAUUCUCUAAAAAAAUCUCAACGUAGCAUGGUGUUUUGAUAAUUUAUGUUUAACACUUAUCCUUACAUUUGGGCUCGAGACUUUUUACUAGAGGCACGAUGUAGGCAUCGAAUUGAAUGUGCCGAGAUUGUUUUUCUCAGUUAAAUAGUUGAUGUGACUGGCGGGACUUGAACCCAAGACUUUCUGCUCUGUUAUCAUGCCAAACAAUCGUUAAUUUCCGAAAUCUUAAGCUACCAGAGAACUGUAUUUUAGUAUGUUAACUUAUUCGGUUCUAACUCAGAACCUCUCUCCUGUUUUUUUGAGAAUUAUACAAUAGAAUCCCCCAAUGCACGAGUGAAUUCUUUAGUUAGAAAAUGGACGAAUUUGGUUGGUAUUAGAUUCAUUAAGUUACCGCAUCCAACCGAACUUCAUAGAAAGAAGAGAACAAUUAGCAUGUAGAGUGCCGACUGUCAUUCUAGUCUUGCGAAUUAUCUUGGUAGUUUGCAGCUGAUAUCUGAUAUCCAUGACUGCAGCGAAUUUGAGAUGUUUAUUUAGAAUCACUUGACAAGGCGGAAAGAUUGGAAGCAAGAGAUGCCUCACAUUUUACUCGGAACAUAAUUUUGUGAUGGUUUCUUUUUGUCUUGCUCUUUCUCGUGAUGAAAAAUGCUCGGAUGAUUUUAGUCAUGAAUGUGGAUCAACAUUUAACAUGCUUGUAAGCAAAUGGAUUUAAAUCAAGCCAUAUAGAAGAGUUGUUACAUCUACUUCUAAAUUUAACUCUCUAAAGCAAAACCUAGUUUGGAUGACAAGUGGCUAGUAUGCAUUAGAUCUUUGUGGAUUUGAUCUCUACAGAGAGAUUUGCUUCUUCAAUGUGGAAUGUAGCAUUUGAUGCCCAAGAUUUCCCAUGCAUGUCUACAGCGUGCUCUGAUCGAGUUACAAACUUAACAAUCAUCGCCAUUCUCUAUUCAAAUGUUAAACUACUUUUGAAUGUGCAAAAAUAUUUUUGAUGCUUUUAAGAACUUUAUUCUGUGAGGGCAAUGAAGCCAAUCCGCACUCAAUGAGCUUAGAAACUAUCCACAGAAAUUUGGUGCUCAUUUUCAUGGCCAAUCUUUAUAGAUCUCGGCCUUCUUUUUCUACUGUGAGGAGAAAGUGCUCCGACAGAAUGUAAGUAACCGGAUUGUAAUGUAAUCUUUUCGAGUCCUUGCUCAUAUCCAGCAAGCUGCACUGUGAAACUAUUAUUUAACUUCUCUCCUUUGAAUUAUUAUUUAUUAUUGUCAUUUAAUCUAUAGGAAUACCUCCAAGGAAAUCCCCUGUGGCUGCAGUAUGUGAAAACUCCACUGUUGACCUUAGGGUUCGAGAGCAGCUACGAUGUUUUCGUCAAGGCUCACGGGGGCGGCCUCUCGGGUCAGGCCCAGGCGAUUUCUCUCGGUAUCGCGCGCGCUUUGCUGAAAGUUAGUGAGAACCACAGAAGUGCUUUGAGGAAGGAGGGCCUUUUGACCAGAGAUUCUCGGGUCGUCGAAAGGAAGAAAGCGGGUCUUAAGAAAGCUCGGAAAGCUCCCCAGUACUCGAAGCGUUAGCGUAGUUUCUAUUUACAUGGUUUUGUGUGUAACUUUUUUUGUUUUUUUCGGUCAUGAUUUGUAAGUUUGUAUUAUGUUUUAUCUGAACAUACCACAAUUUGCUUUAGCUUGUAAUCAUUCCCUUAAAUUGGUGCGGGAAUUGGAAUCCAUCACCUUUCAUGGUUGUAAAUGUUCCUUUUGAUCUUGAAAGAGCAGAGAAUUAAUCGCUUAUUCGACAGUAGUUAUCUGUGAAAUUUCGUUUGUUUGUAAAUAUGAAUUUCUUCCUUUCUUUUUUGCACUACAAAAACAAAAUAACCAUGUUUAUUUUAGGGCCUUUCUGUGUUUUAGUUCUUUCACAGUGAGAAAGUUUAAGAGAAUGUCCAUGUUUACAUGUCUUAGGAGAUUCACGUGAAUAAGAAUGAAUAAUAUGGGUUCCACGCUAAUUUAGAGCGUGUUUGGUUUGAUCGAAGUCUGUAACGAUCCGACCUGCUAGCAACAAUAACUGGUUGGACCCAAACCAACGGUUCAAAAUGUUUAAGCUCAGUUAUUGUUGCUAAUGGAUCGGGUGGUUACAAUUGGUAUCAGAGCCGACUACCAGCCGGAAGUGUGAGAGCUAAGUGUUAUACGAGACAAAGUGCUACACCAACAGGUUUGUUGGAAGCCACCUGUAGAAUCUUACAUCGACUAGUAAUUCUGAUUUGUAUAUUUGUAAUCUAGGAGACUUGAUGUUAUUGUGCCCACUCAAACAGUACAAUCUAGUCUCAAACAGUGCAAUCCACUAUUAAACAGUAUAAUAUUUUUUUUCAUAGAAGAAAAAAAAAUUUUUUUUCUCCUUUUUUAAUUUUCUUUUUUUUAAAAUUUCACUAUCUGCAUCUUUUCACACUAUCGUGCCCGCUCUCUCUCGGCCUCUGCAGCCGCAGCUGCUACCCGCAUCCCGACGCGCUCUUUCUUUCCGUCAUGCUCAAAUCCUGCAGCACUGUCAUUGCUAUUGUUAUCUAUAGCCACGCCCUUCGCCGCAGUUUCCAUAGUUAGUUAAUUCGGAUACGGUAAAAAUUCGAUAUGAAUAUAAUACGAGUACAUUCGUAUCUUAAUUUUUAAAUUCGUUAACAAAUACGGUUUAAAAGAAAGAUUCGUCAAUAAUUCAAAUGCGCAAUUUAUACGAAAAUGGUACGUUUAUUAUUUAAAAAUUCUGGAGACAAAUAUAUAAACCAACAAUACUUUAUCCAAAAACGCCCUAUAGACCCGGUCUACCUACAUUCCCACAUAAAACAAUUUAUUAUUAUUAAUUUGAAUUAAACUAUGCCCCACUCAUACAACACGGUAAUCUACAAAUCACGCUUAACCCUAAAUUAUAACCCAUAAAACUAAUAAAGAAUCAGUAAUAAAACUAAAAAAAUUCUGCGUUUUCUUUCUCUUUAAUUUUUUGAUCGAUUAAUUUAAAAAAAAUAAUCGGCCCUCUUCGCAAAAACUCCCUCUCCGGGAAAAGCGUGAUUUCCGAGCAUCUUUUGAUGCGAAGAUAACGCUUUCGGAUUCGGAGUUCGGGUUUCUGUCGGUGUUCGCUUUGUUGGUGGGUCUCCAAAAACCUUAGCUUUUUUCGCGGUUUUUUUUUUUUGGUUAGGGUUUAUCCCAUGAUGAGGGUUUUUGGGGGCGGAGGAGCGAUCGUUGAUGUAAAGAAUCAAAUUUUCAUUGUUAUUCUUUAAAAAAUAAAAAAUUCAGUUACAUAUUAAAUCUCAUUAUCUUCUGUUAUAUUUGGAUUCGGAUUCUGUAUCUAUAUAAAUAAUUUUUUAUGUUAAAGAUUAAAAAUAAUUUUCUUUGUUGAAAAAAAAAUAAUUUUUUUUAACGUUCCUCUCUUUCAAUUCUUGUGCUUCUUCUCACCGCCGGGGAGAGAUGAGUUGUGCUCCGACUGUCACCGCCGCGGCGGCCGACGGCGGUCCCCCCGACGUCCGGCAGCGCCUCCCGGUCCACAUCGCCGACAGCGGCCACAGCUUCGAGUUCGAGUGCGAGGGGCAGACGGCCGUGGCGGACAUCCAGCGCUCGGUCGAGCCGCUCUGCGGCAUCCGCCCGGACCAGCUCCUGCUCUGCCGCGACGCGCUCCUCGACCCGCGCCGCCGGCUCUCCUCCUACGGCCUCCCGCGCGCCGGCCGCGAGGUCUUCCUCUUCAACAAGUCCAGACUGCUUCUCCACUCCCCUCCCCCCCCUCCCAAAUCCAUCUCCCUCCCCCUCCCCAUCCCCCCUCCAUCCCCCCUCCUCCUGCUCCGACGAUCCCCUAUCCGACCUUCUCUCCGCGCUUUGCUCUCCUACGAGCGGCGGUUCCGCCGCCACUUCGACGCCGCCGGCGCCGUCUUCUCCGCCUCCGCCGCCAAGCUCGAGCUGUCCGCGCGCCUCCUGCGCGAGCGGCGCGUGCAGGGGCGGCGGCUCGCCGCCGCCGGCCGCAGCCUGGGCCACACGUUCGAGAGGCUGCGCCGGCGGCACGCCGACUUCGCCGCCCGCUCGCAGGCAGCGCCGGCGCCACGCCGCGCUGCUGGCGCGCUUCGAGGACGACCUCGCCGGCUGCGGCCGGCGGAGCUCCACCCGCGCUCCGCUCCGCGGGCCGCAGGUGUUUGAUCGAUUUGCUCAGAGAGCCCGACGCGCGAGCGCGCGCCGACGCCUGCCGCGACUCGCACCGCAGGUUCGCGGACAUGGUUUCGCGGCUGGGAUCGGAAUUCGCCGAGCUGAAGAGGAGAGUGGAGGGUUUGCUCGUUUUGAUGGACUCGGCCAGCGGCGGCAGCGGCAAGAAUCUCGAGCUUUUGGUGAAGGACCACCAUAAAGUUCUUCGCAACCAGCGAACCAUAAUGCAGGCCUUAAGGUCAGUUGAUAAAUAUGUGCAUUUUGAGGUGUAUAUGCGCAAGAAUCUCCGUUUACAAGUACAUUGCAAUUAAAAAAAGAGUAAUUUGGAACAUAUUUUCGCAUGAUGGAGUGUUCUAAUUUGUUAUUGUAUACGGAUCGUAAUUUAUCCGUCAUAAUAUUUGCGGUUCAUAAUUUGGGCCGAUUUCUUGUCCUGCAGUAAAGAUGUCAACAUUUCGAAGAAGCUCGUCGAUGAUUUUUUGAGCUCCCAGGCUUCUAUCUCUUUUAGCGCUCAUGACGCAGUUUCGGUUGUCGGUCGUAUGCACGAUGUUCACGAGAAGGAUCAUCUGCCCAAUAUGAGGGAUUUAGAUCGCAAACUAUCGAAGUUGCUUGACACAUGCAAGGGUAAGAAAAAUGACAUGAACCUGUUGAUGCACACCACCAUGAAGAAGGUAAAAUCCGCCCAAUUUGGUAUCAAGGGAAUGAUGAGCGAGCUGCAUGCGUUCCAGGAGUUGAUGGAAAAUCAAGACACGGAAUUUCAUACUCUGGAAAAAAUUAACGGAAUGGGCCAUGCGUACAGGGCUUGUCUUGCCGAAGUAGUAAGGCGGAAGUCGUUCUUAAAAUUGUACAUGGGCCUCGCUGGACAAAUGGUUGAAAGGAUUGCCGGGGAGAGAGAAAAUGAGAUUAGAAAACGCGAGCGAUUCCUCAAGAGAUGGUGCAAGUUCAUUCCGCGUGAAAUCUUUCAAUCCAUGGGAUUGUUGGAUUCUCCAAGUCAAUGUGCUGUUAGUUUAAAUCCUUUUGAUGAGUGUCUGCUGCCAAUUGAUAUAGCCGAUGUGGACCGAUUCGCGCCGCAAUCUCUAGUAGGCCCGUCUUCUAAAUCUACUGAUAGUACCUUUGAUUUGAUAAAAUCUGAAGAAAGCUCCUUGCCUGCUGGCGAGAAGGCUGGAUUUCGGGAUAUUCUUGAGGGUUGCGAUGCGCUCGACAUUACGGGAACCAGCAGGAUGGAAGUUGAGAAUGUGAGAUUAAGAGCUGAACUUGCUUCCGCGAUUGCCAUAAUCUGCGGUUUUCGUGCUGAGAUUGGAUCAGAAUCAGUGGAUGCAGACCAAAUUGGUAGUAAGCCAUUGGAAGGUAUUAAGGAAGCGACGGAUGAAGCUCUUCGGCUGAAAGAUGAAUACGCAGAUCAUCUUCAGUCAUUGCUGGUUAAGCAGCAGGAGCAGUGCUUGUCCUAUGAAAAGCGUAUUCACGAGCUCGAACAAAGAUUGUAUUCGCAAGUGCGAAAGCCCUCGACCAAUAACAGUGCAUCUGAUUCCACCUUUUCAGCGUAUAAGGCUAAUGAUUGUAGUUUAGAUGGAGACAUGGUUUAUUCUACACCUGAUUCAAUGAAUCCAAAAUAUGAUACCGAGCAAAACAAGCGUGGAGAAGGUGGAGACGAAAACAUGGCUAAUUUAUCGAGCGUAUUAAGUAUGCAGUCAUCGGAUUUAUCAAUACUGGAACAUCCAGAAUAUGAAAACCAAGGUGGUGGAAUUAGCAAAGAAGCGACAAAGAAUGAUUCGUCUGAUGUCCCAACAGAUCCUUUUGAUUUUGUAACUUUCGGAGUUAAUGACCAAGUGGCGUUGGACUCAAAACCUACGGAUUCUCUUGCAUCGGACCUGCAAAUUGCCCUGGAAGAGAAGUCAAACUGGCUGGAGGAAACUGAAAAUAAGCUUAGAGCCAGUACGGAGGAGGUUAUCUAUCUGAGGAGAGAGUUGGAAAAUAGUCGAAAUCUUCUUGAUGAAUCUCAGGUAACUGUCGCGAAUAUAAUGUUUCCUUCGUUUCAUUGUCUAGCAAAAUGAGUCCAUGUAUAAAUUUUGCUGCUCUUCAUCUCACCUUACGGAAGUUUCUCUCAUGUAGUCUUGAGUAGGAAUCAAAUUGUUGCUUAGCCUAGCGUACCGCAAUAGUUGCUGUUUCCUGUCGACCAUUUAUGUGGUUAUGUACUUAUGUUAAUAAUGCAUGCGUGUUGGGUGGCAUUGCGCGUCAUUCAGAGUAUGCCACAUGUAACCGCUAAUUUUUUUAUUGUGAUAUUUCGAAACAGACGAACUGUGCGAACAUGGAGAACUGCUUACAUGAGGCGAGAGAGGAAGCCCGUACUAUUAAAUGUGCAGCCGAGAGGAGGGCUGCAGAAUAUGAGGAUUUGCGUUUGUCCGCUCUGAAAGUGUGUACUGUAUUUGAAAGGCUUUGUGGCUGUGUCAAUGAUCCUGGUGUAACUGAGUUUGCGGACUCUCUCCAAUCUUUAGCUCUUUCUUCAUCCAGGUAUUCUCGCACUCUCUUAUUUAGUUAUGAGCUAUUCCUGGUGCUCAAUAAACUCGAGCAUUAUUUGCGCUGACAAACAAUGGCUAGCAUACAAAAAUUCAUCCCAGAGUGCUUCCACUUAGAACUCCAUAUACUAACUGAAUGUCAUUCGAUCCAUAGAACUAAAAUCAAACUUAUUUGGAUGCUUACUUUAUAUGAUUUACUGAAUUAAGGAUUGUCAUGAACACUUUUCUUAUUGGUUUUUCAUUUGAAUUUUCAUUUGCUUCUAGUUCUAUUACAAAGGAAGAAGGUGAUGGCGAUGCUGAGUUACACCAAUGUAUCAAGGUCCUUGAGGAGAAAGUGGGUUCUCUUUCUCAGAAGAACACCGAGCUAUUAGACCGUUCUUCUAGGAUGGAAGCCGCACAUGGAUGUCAAGUAAGAGAUUUGCAGGAGAAGGAAGAGUUGAUUCGAUUCUUAAACAGUGAAUAUCAGAAGGAGAAAAAGGUUUGUUCCUAAAUUUCUUCAUUCAUCUUGUAGUUAACGAUGUAAGCAUUUCAGUCUGCAUUCUUCUGUCCUUAGUAAACAUUUCAUUUCAGAGCAUGAUGAGUUGAUGACCUUUACUGUUAUCUGAGACCAUUCCUUCAUGUCAAGAUAAAUUGAAGUGUUCACUAUAUGUAUGAUGUUUAGAACAUGUUAAAAGAGGAUAUAAAUUGCUUCUCAAAACAUGUUUUACACAUCAUGCGUGUAGUGAAAACUUGCAGAUACGAAUUUUUUUUUUUUUUUUUUUUUUUUUUUUUUUUUUAAGUGGGCUUAUUUAGCGCUGCUCUUUCGAACAGGCAAGGAAAGAGAUGAUAUCAUUUGGCCAUUUUGCGGCCCACGACCUUGCGGCCUUUGUAUGGAAUUCCACUGGUACUUGUGAAGCAAUCAACCGAGACUGCUCAAAAUACUCUCUGUCGGAGGAAUCCAUCGCCCUACUCGCAGGAAAACAAUCGAGCCGUCCACUUUACAUUAUCGGGAAAGUUGUGCACAUUGAACGGCGGAUAGCGGGGCCAUUGGUAUCUCCACGACCUGAUCUUCCUGUUGGCUGUAAAUAUUUUGUAGCCACAGUUGCCGCGCUAACUGAUAACAUUCAUUCAGAUCCUUCCUGAACCUGCCUGUUGGCUGACAUAAAGGGAGAAUUCAACUUGUACAUUGAGAGAGUAUAAAUUUUGGCGAUUCUCGAAAAAAGAGGAUAUAAAUUUUGGUAGGGUUACCUUGUACACGGGAUAGAUUUUUCACCAUUGAAAUGUGAGUUUUGAGGUUUAAAUACUUAACAUUUAUGGUUAGUAUGCAAAUUCUUUUUGGAGAUGAAAAAGUAAUGUACCGUGACGCUGUGGAAACCUUGAUUAUUGGUGAAUAGAAAAUUGAAGAAAUUAUGAUACGGAUCCAAUUAUACAUUUUUUUUUUUUCUUUUCCAGAAUCCAUUUGUUUGGUGGACUGUGUUGCGACUUUGAUGAGCUAAUUUGUUUGGAAAAAAAUGCCUAUGAAUAUGUAUGGAGGUAUCUCUUUCUUAUGUUGGACCAAAUUGUUGGUCCCUUUGGUAGGCUUUUGGUUUCAGUAUUAUCUGAUUAUUGAAGAAUGUUUGAUUAAUGCUUUAGUCUCUAUUGCAGGUGUUCUUUUUAGCUCCAUUUGCUGUGCAAAUUUUAAGUUUGUUAUUUCUGUUUUCUAUCUUCUUGAAUAGUCUUAGAGUUCAUGUGGUCUAGUGCAUUUUUAGUUUGCUACAUUGCUGUUUAAUUCUUUUUUACUUUGCUAACAUGUAAUCUUAUCUUUAUUGUUAGAUGUGACUCGAAAUCUACCAUCGAUUCAGGUUCGGGUUUACGACUCGCCGACAGCUUCGUGGUGUGACCAAUUUGGAGAGGAAAAUUAUGGAAGAAAAAUGAAUGUCUGUGGUGGGUAGCGACAGGCCCGAGCCAGGUGACAUUCGCCAGGGGGUGCGGGGGGCUCCGCCCCCCGCGGUAUGGAUCGGAUCCGAAAUCCGUUAUGAGUUUUUCUUUUUUCGUUUUUGCCCUAGAGGCGUGUGAUCGUGGUUAGUUGUAACCUGAAGAAUAUUGUAUUCCCUUUUCGUUCCAUAGUGAAGUUCUCUCCUCCCUCGCCCGUGGUUUUUUUUCUGCAAAAGGUUUUCCACGUAAAUCUGUGUCUCUUUAUAUUUUGCUUGUGAUUUGAUUGUUUUUUGUGUUCGUCAUUUCGUUUCCGUUUGUGCGUUUGUCGUAACAUUUAUUUUACUGUCGGGACGUGCCGUCAAAUCAUAUACUAAAAUGAUAAAGCUUAUAAACCACAGAAUAUUAAAAUAAUAUAUUUUACAAACUGUGUAGUUCAGUUUGUAAGUAUCCUAAACCGAAAAAGAGUGCCUGUGAAAAUGAUCGGUAUAUCUUAAAAUGAAGAGAAAGGGGAGCAGUUCAAUUUUAUCCAUUAACAUCACCACAAAUCCCCAGAAACAGUACUGCAACAACAACAUCCACCAAUGCCAAAAAUAUGCCUCUCGUUUUGCAUGCAGGAACCACUUCAAUUUCCUCCUCCUUUCCUCCAGAUUCCUCGGAGAAUUUCCUCGAAAAUUCAAUGCCCAUACACGACAUAUGUAGUACUUUUGUAGGUACUUACUCAAGAUGUGACACCAUUUGUUGUCUUUUGCAUUGAUUCUCGUUCGUAUAGUUCGGAAACACUGCUCGGAGCUUUUUCGUCUCUAUCUCUCUUUUUGCUUUUCGCAACAAGAGUGUUUUCUAGACAAUUGUAUUUCAAAAUUUAUCGCACUGUGAAGCUGUUGGCGAAUUAGGAGAAUUUCGAGACACAUCUAACAAGUACUUUUAUUUUUCUUUUUGUAGAUUAGAUUGAUUUGAAUUAACCGCUGACGCUUUGGGUACAGUCCACAAGAAAUAAAAAUGGAAAAAAAAAAACUUAUUGUGGGGCUAAAGUGGCCCUUAAAUCUCCUACAAAAGCCCUUCUCUUACCAUGCAUGGAAUCUCAAUCAAAAGUGUUUUUUCUCUAGUUUUGAUUCAAAAGAUCAAUACCCUCUUAGCAAAAGUGAAUUAGCAUCUUUUUUUAAAGAGUGUAUAAAGCUAGAUUCUUUUGAGCCCAAUGGAACCACAACCAGUUCAUGAAAGCUCUGCCAACAAAACUAGCCUACUGCACAAACAAAGCACACACCAAAAGGGUUUCUUUCAUGCAUUCCUUUGCUCUCCGCUGCUAUGGCUUGGAAUGCUAGCGAAGGAGAUGCACUGGAGCUUCGUCUACGGCGUCGUCGCCGUGAACGGAGUCAGCCAAGGCCUCGGCGGUGCCGUCGCGCGGGUGGCGACGGAUUACUACUGGAAGGAUGUUCAGAGGGUGGAGCCUUCUGAGGCUCAGGUGUAUCAGGGGAUCACUUCCCUUCCUUGGAUUGUAAAGCCAUUGUGGGGACUGCUUACUGAUGUUCUCCCCGUGGGCGGAUACAGGAGAAGGCCUUAUUUCAUCCUUGCAGGCAAUGUUCUUCACCCCCCUAACUAAUGAUUUUUGAAGUUAUUUUGGUUUGUAACUUCAGUCCUAAAUUUGGAGCUGUUUGGAAGAUCUCUGACGACCAUUCGUCAGCAACUUAGAAACCGUCGGUCAUAAAAGUUUCAAAUUAGAAAUUUUGCUUACAGAGCUCCACAGACGUAACUUUCGAACAUUUUUGCUCGUGAGGAUCAAAUGCACCUCUUCUUGUUGUUAGAUAUUACUCUGUCUGAAUCUCAAAGCAUCAUUGACUGAUAUCCAAUGAUAAGGAGCGGUGUGUCCGAAAAAGACGUAUCCGAUAAAAUUUUCUUCCGUUUGAAGCUCAUGUUUGUAUAAGUAAAUGUUCAUCUCUCAUGCUCAUCCCACAUUAAUUUACACUUAUGUUACAUAAGUGUUCUUAUCAUUCAGAUCGAAAUUAUGUAACUAUUUGGGCCUUUCUAAAUCCCUUGUUUAUUGACAUUCUACUCUGAUUUGGUAUAUAUAUAUAUAUAUAUACAGGUUUCUUGGGAGGUGUCUCUAUGCUCAUCCUGUGGCUGCAAAAGGAUCUCUGCCCCCUUCUCGCAUUGCUGCUAAUGACGGUAGGAAGUGCCGGGGUGGCGAUCGCCGACGUAACCAUCGACGCUUGCGUUGCAGAAAACAGCGCGAACCAUCCAUUGCUCGCCUCCGACAUGCAAAGCCUCUGCGGAUUAAGUUCAUCCGUCGGAGGUCUUCUGGGCUUUGCUAUUAGUGGCCAACUCAUGAAUGCACUAGGUUCAAAGGUUAGCAUUCAAGCACAAAAUACAAAUCUCAUGCCGCAUUUAUCCCAUAUAUAUAUAGUACUUAAAAUAACUCUCAAGGCAUAAUUAGCCAAUUUAGUCAAGCAUUUAUGUGUAUUAUUCAUUGAAUUUAACAACAUCCACAUUUAUCUUGUGCUUAAAGGGUGUUCUUGGCUUGCUAAGCAUACCGGCUUCACUAGUUGUUUCAGUUGGAAUGGUGCUUAAAGAGCCUCAGGUGCCAGUCUCAACACAGAAACAGGUGAAGUAUACAUGGAUAAUCAGAUCAAACUAAUCCUAUUUGAAGAGCAUGGUAAUAGUUGCAUGUAAUAAGCUUCUGAUCUGAUUGAUCUCAUCAGAUAUGUGAAAAGUUGGUUGAAGCAAAAGACACAAUGUGGGAAACCAUGAAAUGCUCAGAUGUUUGGAGGCCUUGUGUGUUUAUGUUCACAUCACUUGCAGUGAGCAUAAACAUCCAGGAAGGAAUGUUCUACUGGUAUACGGAUACUGAAUCUGGACCUUCCUUCUCUCAGGUAUGCUCCGAAUUCGCGGAUUAGUUGUUUCAUUUUGAAGCUUCUGAACACUUUUUCUAAGGCGACGAACUGCGUGUGAUUUUACUCGGCAGGGGACCAUCAGUUUCAUCUACUCCGUCGGCUCCGCGGGCUCGCUACUGGGCGUGACGCUGUACCAAACAUUCCUGAAGCGCUGCCCGUUCCGCUCGCUCCUCUUCUGGACCCAGCUCCUCUCCAGCCUCGCGGGGUUCCUCGACCUCGCCCUCCUCCUCCGCCUCAACCGCCGCCUGCGUAUGCCCGACCCCCUGUUCGCCGUGGCCGACGAGGGCGUCUCGCAGCUGAUCGGGCGCGUGCGGUGGAUGCCGCUCCUCGUGCUCAGCGCCCGGCUCUGCCCGGGCGGCGUCGAGGGCGCCUUCUUCGCCCUGCUCAUGGCCGUCGACCACGCCGCGAUGCUCGUGUCCUCGUGGGGCGGCGGCGCCCUGCUGCGGCUCCUGAGCGUCUCGCGGUCCGAGUUCGGCAACCUGUGGGUCGCCGUCGUCGUCCGGAAUGUGCUGCGGCUGCUCCCCCUCGGCUUGCUGUUCCUCAUCCCGGAGACGGAUUUGGGUGCUUCUGCAACAGCAGGCGGCGGAGGUGAAAGCCGAGAAGGGGUGGAGGAGGGAGGAGGUGAGAUUGAAAGGUUGUUAGUUGGCGGGAAAGUUUGAAUUAUAGUUGGCAAUGUUGUAUUCUGCACUAUUUUUAAAAAAUAGCCAACAACGUUUAUUCUCUGCCCAGAAAGCAUUCGUUAAAACUUAUUAAUUUUUAUAAUUAUUUAUUUCUGUGCUUCGUGAGAUGUGAGUACACAAGCAACUAUUUAUUUCGGCAUACUUCUUAGAGAAAAAAAUUCUCCCUAGCCUUCUUUUAAAAAAUAUUCAUAAUCUAACCUUAUUUUUAUAAAUUAGAAAAAAAAAAAAACUUCGUUUAUUUCUAAAUGAAACAAAUAAAAUAGUGUGCUAUCUAUCUCUAAAAAAAAAAAAAAAAAUUAAGUGGGUGAGAGAUUUUUUUUUUCUCUCACCUCUCUCGUUUUCCAACAUGUAGAAGUUACAAAUUUAUCAUUAUUCUUAUUAUUAUAUUUUAACAGCAUGUUCUACACGUGCAAUAGACUAUCAAUCUUUUAUUUAUUGAUAAAUAUUACUCUGUUGAGACACUAACAAUGACAGGACGUUCUAAAUUUAAUUCCACACCAAAUAAGGAUUAUUGGCAAUCAUAUUCUGGUUUUAUCUUAAUUCCAAACGAGUCUAUGCAAAGGUUAAAACAGGAUCGUCCAAAAUCAGCACGGAUUCGUAACAACAUGGACUAGAUUAAGAAAACAGGAACCGACUGUUCCUAGAGCAAGUGGCAAAGGGCUUGGUGGUUGGUACCCGAGACCCAAGUUCGAAUCCUAGUUGAUUCACAUUUCCAGCUAAGUUUAUUUCUAAAUAAAAUAAAUGAAGCGAGUAGCGUGCUACCUAUCUCUCUCAAAAAAAAAGAAAAAGAAAAAGAAAACAGGAGAUGAGAAAGAAAAAAGUAAUUUUCCACCCACUUAACAUAUUAAACUAUAUAAAAGUUAUUAACUUAUCUCUUUUUUUUCUAAUCUAUAAAAAUAAGACUAGAUUAGAAAUUUUUUUUAAAAGAAGGCUAGAUAGGAUUUUUUUUUUUUUUUUUUCUCUAAGGAGGCUAGACAAGACAAUAGUUCAGUAAAAUCAUAUAAAUUAUAUAAAAAAUUGCUCGAUAAAUUAUCAAUUUGAUACGAUCAAUGAAUUAGUAGGAGAUCUCUUUUAUCUAAUUUAUUAUCUGACUUUUGAGUUAUAAAUUAGAUAAAUAUUGAGACAUAGAACAAUAUGAUAUAUCAAGUCUUUUUAGUGAAAUUUUACAAUCUAAUUCCUCGAUUGUCCCAAAAUUUUGAACCUAUUUGAAAUAGUGGCUAAAUGCAAGAGGGUAAUUGACACAAAUUUUCAUAAAGUGCAAGGGGUACUUUUGUAAUUAAUCCUCUUAAAUAUAAUAUAACAACUAUAAAUAAUUAGAUAACUCAUAAAUAGUGCUAUGGCUCAUAAUACAAUAUAUAAUAUAAUAAUCUCCAAAUUCUAAAUUUGAUUAGUCCCAAGAGUAAUAAUCAUAAUAAUAAUCAUAUAAAAGCUAUACUUUACAGUAGCGUUACGACUCUUCCAUCCAAAUUAUUUAUUUAUGUAUUUAGCUAAUCACUGAUUCUUUUGCAUGCUCCGUAAAAAAUAAAAAUAAAAAUAUGUAGAGCCCCCCUCAACUUUAAUUUAUUUAUUUUUGUUGAUUAAGGAUCCAUUAAUUUUGAUUUGUUAGAAUAGAAUUAUUCUGGUAAUUUACUUAAAAAUUUAUGCAAGUUUCAUUCACUAAUAAAUUUAAAAAUUAUUAAAUUUACUAAAAUUCUCAACUUUUUCUAAACGAGAAUUAAUCAAUUUUAAAAGAUUUAAAGCUGAAAUAAUUGCAAAUAAAAAAUUUUAGGUCUCCAUACAUUUUCCUUUUUUUUUUUUUUUUUUUUUUUUACCUUAAAAAACCCACAAAACUCACAAAAAAAAGAGCUAAAUUACAAAAAACUUUUUUUGUCAAUAUCUGCUUUUUUUACUUUUCCCACCGUCAUUUAAAAACCUACACUUUGCCUCCUUAAAAAAUAAAAAUUGUUCACUUCGGUCCCUACCGUCAUUGUUCCGUCACGAUUUCGUUUAUAUCUUUUUUUUAUACCCAAAAUAUCUUUGAAACACUCAUCCAUAUCCACACACAUGCUCUCGGCCACUGCCUGGCCUUCUGCUGUCUCGCCUUUGCAUACCUCUCUGUCCAUGCUCAGACACACACCCUUGACCUCCUCCGCCACUGGGAUGAGCAAGAUUAGGAAGGAGGAGAUGAAGAAGAUAAGGGUAAUUUGAUUAUUUUGUCAUACGUACCUCUCUGUUAACAUUUUUUAUUUUUUAAGGAUGCAAAAUGUAAUUUUUUAAAUGACAGAAGAGGAAAAGUGAAAAAGUGGGAUAUUGAUAGGGGGAUUUUAUAUAAUUUAGUAAAAAAAAAAACAAUUGAAUUAUCUCUUUUGUACACCAAACUCACUCCUCACCCACUUUUUCUUGACACGUGUCAACUUAACCUCCUCCGCGGAGUAUCAUACCGCUAUUCAAAAAUAAGCCCAUUCCCGCCGCAUUAUUACAAAAAAGUCCAAAAUUUAAAAGUCAUAAGCUCACGUGAAACAAUUUCCGAGGAUUAUAUUAUAUAUAGCCGUUACUUUCCUGUGCAUGCACCGUUCCAAAUACACCCAUAAUUAUUUCAAAUUCAAAUUACUCCUCCCACCACUUUAUAGUGAAAAUGUAUGGAGACCCACCUCAACUAUACGCAACUUUGAAAAACACCCCUCAACUCUAAUCACCAUCUUCUUAAUUCUUAAAUUUUUUUUGUUUGAAUUGUUUAAAAUUUGGAAAAUUUAAUAACUUUAUUAGAUAUAAUAGAACCAUUAAAUUUGAUGAAUCGAUACAUUCGAUAAAUUUUUUAAUCUAUUUAAGUAAAAAUAAUUUUUUUCCCCUUAUAGUUGCUCCAUUAACUAGAAGUCGUUCGUUGUUUUAGCUUUGUUUUGUAAAAUAUAAUUAAAAUUAUUAAAAUUGAUAAGGUUUUUGAUAAGUUUGAUAAAAUUUAUAGUUUUUUUGACGAAAACCGUAUAAUUUAAAAAUUUUAAGAAAUCGAAGAUAUAUUAAUCAAAAAAACAAUGCUAUACUAUACUAAAAGGUGGGUGGAAAUCUGACACCUUUCCAUCGAAGGACUAUUAUUUCAUUUAAAAGAAUUAUAUGAAACUUUUAAAUUGAGAAGUGUAAGAUUUACAUUCACUUUUGACUGUGCUGUUUGGAAAAAUAAUCCAAACUUAAUUAAAAUAUAGUUAGAGAUAAGUUUAAAUCUUUUAUUUGAUUAUGAUUAGGAUUUGUAAUUAUCCAAAAUAAAAGUUGAAUUUAUCAUCUGUUAUGACUGGAUAGUUAUAUAUAGUUAGAUAUGAGUUAAUUAGAAAAUAAUAAAGUAUUAGUUUAAUUUUCUUCUUUCUUCUCCGAUAUUUUUUUUUCAUCUUAUUUUAUUCGAUUUUAGAUCUUGCAUUAUAUAAUCGGUAUCACUGUAAAUACCGAUUUCAACAAGUAGUAUAAGAGCAAAUCACGCUUCUAGCACAUACAAAUAGUAUUUUUCUCUAAUAA
rnacentral:lncRNA from 1 species